rnacentral:rRNA from 1 species
GAUGAACGCUGGCGGCGUGCCUAAUACAUGCAAGUCGAGCGAACGGACGAGAAGCUUGCUUCUCUGAUGUUAGCGGCGGACGGGUGAGUAACACGUGGAUAACCUACCUAUAAGACUGGGAUAACUUCGGGAAACCGGAGCUAAUACCGGAUAAUAUUUUGAACCGCAUGGUUCAAAAGUAAAAGACGGUCUUGCUGUCACUUAUAGAUGGAUCCGCGCUGCAUUAGCUAGUUGGUAAGGUAACGGCUUACCAAGGCAACGAUGCAUAGCCGACCUGAGAGGGUGAUCGGCCACACUGGAACUGAGACACGGUCCAGACUCCUACGGGAGGCAGCAGUAGGGAAUCUUCCGCAAUGGGCGAAAGCCUGACGGAGCAACGCCGCGUGAGUGAUGAAGGUCUUCGGAUCGUAAAACUCUGUUAUUAGGGAAGAAUAUAUGUGUAAGUAACUGUGCACAUCUUGACGGUACCUAAUCAGAAAGCCACGGCUAACUACGUGCCAGCAGCCGCGGUAAUACGUAGGUGGCAAGCGUUAUCCGGAAUUAUUGGGCGUAAAGCGCGCGUAGGCGGUUUUUUAAGUCUGAUGUGAAAGCCCACGGCUCAACCGUGGAGGGUCAUUGGAAACUGGAAAACUUGAGUGCAGAAGAGGAAAGUGGAAUUCCAUGUGUAGCGGUGAAAUGCGCAGAGAUAUGGAGGAACACCAGCGGCGAAGGCGACUUUCUGGUCUGUAACUGACGCUGAUGUGCGAAAGCGUGGGGAUCAAACAGGAUUAGAUACCCUGGUAGUCCACGCCGUAAACGAUGAGUGCUAAGUGUUAGGGGGUUUCCGCCCCUUAGUGCUGCAGCUAACGCAUUAAGCACUCCGCCUGGGGAGUACGACCGCAAGGUUGAAACUCAAAGGAAUUGACGGGGACCCGCACAAGCGGUGGAGCAUGUGGUUUAAUUCGAAGCAACGCGAAGAACCUUACCAAAUCUUGACAUCCUUUGACAACUCUAGAGAUAGAGCCUUCCCCUUCGGGGGACAAAGUGACAGGUGGUGCAUGGUUGUCGUCAGCUCGUGUCGUGAGAUGUUGGGUUAAGUCCCGCAACGAGCGCAACCCUUAAGCUUAGUUGCCAUCAUUAAGUUGGGCACUCUAAGUUGACUGCCGGUGACAAACCGGAGGAAGGUGGGGAUGACGUCAAAUCAUCAUGCCCCUUAUGAUUUGGGCUACACACGUGCUACAAUGGACAAUACAAAGGGCAGCGAAACCGCGAGGUCAAGCAAAUCCCAUAAAGUUGUUCUCAGUUCGGAUUGUAGUCUGCAACUCGACUACAUGAAGCUGGAAUCGCUAGUAAUCGUAGAUCAGCAUGCUACGGUGAAUACGUUCCCGGGUCU